UGGGCUGGAUUCCUCUUCUCCGGCUUCCUAACUAAACUUUUUGUUCUCGCUCACACCUCACAGAUCUCCUCUUUCUCUGUGAAAUUUUGCAAAUUUAACCUAUUUUCACUUUCUAGCUUUGAAUUUCUUUGAUUUUUGUUCUCUGGUGCCCCUAAUUGCUGCGACGGGAUCCAAUGGAGGUCUCUGCCUCGCCCGGUACCUCAAUAGAAGCUAUUCGACGGUGUGAAAUGGAAGUGAAGAACAAAGUGUCUGCUAAUUUAAUCGACAAUGUGGACAUUGAUGGAGGUCACGAGAGUGAUUCAACCAUUAGUAGCGUUAUAAGUAUAGAGGAUAAUUCGGUAGCUGAUGUUUCCGGUCAAAAUCUGAAGCUUUCCCUUCUGGAUGAUGCGGAUGAUUCGGGACUAUUUGAAGAUCUCAAAGCUGACAGGACAGAAGACGACCAGGUUAGGCUGUUCCGGCCUGACGAAAACGCUCUUAGUAUGCAAACAGGUGCUGAUAGGCUUUGUAUGACACCACCUUCUAUGGAGCAAUUCAUCGAAGCAGUUAAGCAAACUGUACGUGCCAUCAAGAAAUGGAAUGGGUUCCUCCUCCGGGUAAAGGAGUUUUGUAUACAAGGCCUCGGCUAAUAGGGAGUGGCGCUAUCCUUAGAGCAGCUCCAGCACCUGAGUACACGUUCCUCAUUUACGCAUCUCCCGUAGGAGAUUACCAUAAGGUAAGCACAGGCCUGAAAGUUUAUCAUAAGUAUCGUCGAGCCCAUUCACUUGUUUUCAGAAGCGUGGAUGCUUAUUACUUUUGUUUCCAUGAGAUGUGAUCUGGUGAAGAUGCUUUUGAGACUGCAAAGAGUUGACGUUUCUUCUUCUCCUUAAUCUCAUUAGCUUUUGGUUUUAGUUCUUAUUCCUUCUCUCUGUUCUUGAGAGUUUAUUAAUUUUCUGAAUUUUUUGUUUUGCAGAAAAGAAGAAUAGUUGUAAUAUUUUGACCACGUUUAAGCAAAACGAGAGACUUGAAUCAGUUUCAGUUACAUCUCAUCAUUACAGUUCAUCAAAAGCAGGUUUUGGUUACAAUAAACUUUUCUCUAGAACAAUUGGAACGUGUUUUGGAUACAAGAUCAAAUCUGGUGGAGUUUUAUAUUGGACAAAAACAGAAGAGGGCAACAACUGCUGCAAAAACCGGUUGCAAGAUGAUCAAAUCUUUUUGAGUUACUGUGUGUGUUUGUUGCUUGGAACUGCAACUUAUGGCAUUGAUUCUCUCCCAGGCUAGGCAAGCUCUUCUCACUCAAAGAAUUGCUUCAGCACUUCAAGUAGCC